GAUGAACGCUGGCGGCGUGCCUAAUACAUGCAAGUCGAGCGAACAGACGAGGAGCUUGCUCCUCUGACGUUAGCGGCGGACGGGUGAUUAACACGUGGAUAACCUACCUAUAAGACUGGGAUAAUUUUGGGAAACCGGAGCUAAUACCGGAUAAUAUUUUGAACCGCAUGGUUCAAUAGUGAAAGACGGUUUUGCUGUCACUUAUAGAUGGAUCCGCGCCGCAUUAGCUUGCUGGUAAGGUAACGGCUUAUCAAGGCAACGAUGCGUAGCCGACCUGUGAGGGUAAUGGGCUACACUGGAACUGAGACACAGUCCAGCCUCCUACGUGAGGCAGGAGUAGGGUAUCUUCCGCAUUGGGCGAAACCUUGACGGUGCAGCGCCGCGUGAGUGAUUAGGGUCUUCGGAUCGUAAAACUCUCUUAUUAGGGGAGAACAAAUUUGUAACUUACGAUGCACGUCUUGACGGUACCUAAUCAGAAGGCCACGGCUGACUACGUA
rnacentral:rRNA from 1 species